AAUCCAGAGAUGGAUUUGUGCCUUCCGGAACUGUGAGACAGGUGCUGCAUGGCUGUCGUCAGCUCGUGUUGUGAAAUGUUGGGUUAAGUCCCGCAACGAGCGCAACCCUUAUCCUUUGUUGCCAGCGGUUAGGCCGGGAACUCAAAGGAGACUGCCAGUGAUAAACUGGAGGAAGGUGGGGAUGACGUCAAGUCAUCAUGGCCCUUACGACCAGGGCUACACACGUGCUACAAUGGCGCAUACAAAGAGAAGCGACCUCGCGAGAGCAAGCGGACCUCAUAAAGUGCGUCGUAGUCCGGAUUGGAGUCUGCAACUCGACUCCAUGAAGUCGGAAUCGCUAGUAAUCGUGGAUCAGAAUGCCACGGUGAAUACGUUCCCGGGCCUUGUACACACCGCCCGUCACACCAUGGGAGUGGGUUGCAAAAGAAGUAGGUAGCUUAACCUUCGGGAGGGCGCUUACCACUUUGUGAUUCAUGACUGGGGUGAAGUCGUAACAAGGUAACCGUAGGGGAACCUGCGGUUGGAUCACCUCCUUACCUUAAAGAAGC
rnacentral:rRNA from 1 species